CUGGCAGUCAGCAAAUCCCAACAAUCAUGCUGCCUCAGUCCCUUACAGCACUGGGUUUACAGAUGUGCACAGCACCUGACUUUUUAAACCGGUGUUGGGGAUUUAAACUCAGGACUUCAUGCUUGUGCAAGCUCCCUUCUCCACUGGGCAUCUCCUCAACCCAGGAGAGACUUGUGAGCUGGGGUUGGAUUCUAGUAAACUAAACACAGCAAUCAGGGAUCAGGACUCUGAUCUGAUGAAGGAAAGAGACACGGCAGUGCAGGGAUCAAGCCAGGAGUCAUUUUAUGCUCCAGAAAUGCAGCCAGUGGAUACAAUGUUAAUUGUAAAGCUGGUACAAUGGAGAAGUGUGUGGUUUUGGUGUGGGAGCCUAAGUCCCAGUAGCCUUAGUAUUCAGUUCACAAGGUGGUAGCUGGUGUGUUUGUGUGAUGGCGGUAGUGGAGAGAGUGCCUUCUGCCUCAUAUCUAAAAGUCAAAUACACUAAACAGCUGGAGGACUUCUGAGGAUCCUAAGAUUCCCAAGUUGAAGCUGUACCCCUGAUAUGUUAAGCAGAGCAAGCGACACACGGGGAAGAGUUUUAAUUUAAGGAAUGUCUCAGAAUGAUGGCUGAGACAGGGCGAUUCAAGCAUGCUCACCCUCAGAGCCCUUCGUGGAGAAGAAGCACCAUCCUGUGCUCUUGUGUAGCGACAGGUUCAGGAACCUGAGCAGCUUCUGCCGACCCUCACUGUCCCAUGCUCCCAGCUUACUGCUUUGACACAGAAAACUCUUUUCAUUUGUGCUCAUUAAAAAGAUUUAUUUUUCAAUAUAGGUGGUUUUAAUUUUUUUUUUUUUCGUCUUCAAAGAAGCUGGCCACACAUAAAGAACUAGACUCUGUCAGGUACAGAAAUCAACUUCCAUCCUGUAAUUACCAAGCUGAACAGGUUACAUCAAAGAUGAUUCCCACUCAGACGUGUCUUUGAAGUGAAAAGAAACUAUGGAGCUGAGGUCCUCAUUGGAGCAUCUGUCCCUGUGGUUCACAGAGCCUCACACUGGCGUUUAGAACAGAGAAAACACAUCAACACUCUACACUGAACUUGGAUAUAGUUGCUAUAAAAAAAAACAUUUCUCUCAAAGUUUAAAAAGGGUGACAACAUCAGUGCCAAGAAACAUCAAAGGCGUUGUUUAGAGCUUUCAGGGACUGUGCCAAGCUGCCUUCUAAACACCACUUACCAUUCUCACGUGAUGUAGUUAACGAGCUGGACCCUGCAGGGUCCUAAAGGGCUCCUCCUGAUCUUCUAUCCAGGUGAUUGUGCCCAAACCAGUUUGCACAUUGCAAUCCUCAGGUGUCCAAACACGACUCCCAUAGACGGUUCAUUUCCAGACUGCUCUUUUGCACUGAAGAGAGAAUGGUGGAGAUGUAAUCUUGGGACCUACCUUGACUAGCCAUACAGACAUGUGGAGACAACAGGAAGUAACCCUGUUCUGCCUUUGCUGUGGAGAACACGGCUCAUUCUUGAUCAAGAGUGUUCCUCUUCCAGAAAGGCUGUGGAAGAGCUGGGAUAACUUGUAAAGUUAAAAAGGACACCAAAAUAAAUGUGUGUGCUUAGCUUUUCAUUUUCAUUUAUUCUAUAAAAAUUUUAAUUUGAAUGCAAUUGUUAGCUUGUUUUCAUCUUUGUUUUAAUUAGAUAGAAGUAGUUUGUUUACACAGCAGGAGCUUUCUUAAAAAGGCUCCAGUGAACAAAAGAUUCAAAGUGGGCCUGUGGUCAAGUGUGGAAAGGUAAAUUGUAGGGAUCUCACGAGUCCCCCUAAAUGCUGGAAGCCAGUCUUGGAAAGCUAGAGACUUUCCCUGCCUGUCCUCUCUUCCUGGUGUGCCCUCUGAGUCAGUUCCAUUCUCCUACAUCCUGCAGAUGACCCAUGCUUUCUCUGUCUCUUCCUGUGUGUCACUAAGGAUGACUGUCUUAGGAGACACAGUCAGGAGACCAGCUGACUUAGUCACUGUUCUAUCACUGUGAAGAGACACCAUGGUCAAGGAAACUCUUAUAAGGGAAAGCAUUUAAUUGGUGCCUCGUUUACAGUUGCAGGAGCUUAGUCCAUCACCACCACACCAGGGAGCAUGGUGGCAGUUAGAGGUAGUGCUGGAGAAGUAGCUAAGAAACCUCAAAAAAGUGACACAUUUCCUUCAACAAGGUCACACCUCCUAAUCCACUCCCUGGUAACUAAGCAUUCAAAUGCACGAGCCUAUGUGAGCCAAUCUUCAAAAGCACCAGAGCAGCCAUUUCUCUCCCUUCAAAUACUCCGGACUGGAGGGCAGGAAGAGCCCUGAGCAGCCAUUUCUCUCCCUUCAAAUACUCGGGACUGGGGGGCAGGAAGAACCCUUGUUUUGAUUGUCCAUUGCUAAAAAGUAGUUAAAACACUCAGUUCGAGCCCACUGUCUGCCUUGAUCCUGUCCACUGGGGCUGGUUAAGUGGAAUGUUCUAGACUGAAAAUCUUUCACCCAAGAAUGUGGGGUGUGGUUAACAAGGGCAGAGAUAUGCAGUGAGCGCCCACUUUAAUCUGCUUUUAGGUGGUAUGCAUUCAGUGCAGGAAAAUGGAAAAAUAAUGACAUGUGAGCUAAGAGAAAAGACAACUCCUUCUACCAUCAGAAUAUCAUUCAGCAUCUCCAAGUUUCUUAGAGGCGUUUUUUAUUUGCUUUAAACACUCCUCUCUCUGGCAGAUUUCUUCAAGUCAUACUAAAGAUAAUAUGCAUUGGUCAAAAAACAGCCAUGUCCUCUAAGCCUUUCCCUAUAGGUUAUUUUAUAACAUGGGAGAUCAGACUUUAAAAAUGGAACUUAAUUAAUAGAGUUAUUUGAAAUUAUAAAUAUUGUAAAGGAAACUGGCAAGUAAUUGUGGACAGACAAUAGCCAUAUCCUUAGAUGUAGCAGUCAUGAAAAAGACCUCUGCUGGAUCCACCCUCAGAGAUGAAAGGAAAAGGAGAGCUAGCUAUGAGAGAGGGGAGUCCUGGGAGGGAGAGCAUGCCAAGGGGAAGGAGACGGAUGCAUAGACACUGAAAGGGAAAUGAUUGUUUCCGUUCUCAGCAUUAAAAAGAAAGAGAUGGAGGGAGGAAGGGACAGGGAAGGAAGAAACCACAAAGGAGGAUGGGGGUGAGUUGUGGAAGAGGAAGGGACGGAAGGAAAAGGGGAGAAGGCAAAGGCUGUAUGUUGGUCUGAACAGGACACAGCUUUUGUUACUACAUGGACAACACAAGUCAAGCAGAUGUGAGGUAGAAGAUCAGAGCCUCAGAGUGUUCUGAAAACAGAGAAAAUUUGAAAGGAGGGGGAUAACUUACAGUCAGAUACUGGAAAGACGUUUAAGACUUACUGAAGUCCCUAAAGCCACUAACAGUAGAAGAAGGCUGGUGUAAAACUAAGAGAGGCUUUGUUUUGACAUUGCAGUUUGAAAACAUGGAAUAUAUCAAUAGCCAUACUUCAGCCCCAAACAAUGAACAGACAAUACUGGUUCUCUCUGCCUCAUACAUUUACAGACACUGACCAACAUUUUGAAACAAAUCUAACUCCCACCACCACAGAAAACAGCAGCAACUUCUUGAAGCAUCUGUGCUUUCUCUUCUCUGAAACCUUUCAGCUGUACCAUAGGAAGUAACAGCUCUACGCCUGGACAAGAAAUGCUUCUACUAGCCAGGCGUGGUGGCGCGCACCUUUAAUCCCAGCACUUUGAGAUCAGCCUGGUCUACAAAGUGAGUUCCAGGACAGCCAGGGCUAUACAGAGAAACUCUGUCUCAAAACAACAACAACAAAAACAAAAAAAAAACAAAAAAAACAAAAAAACAAAAAAAAGAAAGAAAAGAGAGAGAGAGAGAGAGA
rnacentral:lncRNA from 1 species